rnacentral:rRNA from 1 species
AGUGAACGCUGGCGGCGUGCCUAAUACAUGCAAGUCGAACGGAGUGGCGCACGGGUGAGUAAUGUAUAGCUAAUCUGCCCUACACUAGAGGACAACAAUUGGGAAAGGCUGCUAAUACUCUAUAGUGUAGGAUGAGGCUAUAUUGUUUCAGCUAGUUGGUGAGGUAAUGGCUCACCAAGGCUAUGACGCCUAACUGGUCUGAGAGGAUGAGCAGUCACACUGGAACUGAGACACGGGUCAGACUCCUACGGGAGGCAGCAGUAGGGAAUAUUGCUCAAUGGGGGAAACCCUGAAGCAGCAACGCCGCGUGGAGGAUGACACUUUUCGGAGCGUAAACUCCUUUUGUUAGGGAAGCGGUACCUAACGAAUAAGCACCGGCUAACUCCGUGCCAGCCGCCGCGGUAAUUC